rnacentral:lncRNA from 1 species
AUUGCAGCACGAGAGUCCCUUAGACAUGCUGGCUGCUCAUUUGAUAAUCUGUGUUUUGCUCAGUACAAAAGGUUGCUGGCUAAGUUUUGUGAGCCCCUCUAACGUCAGGCUGGCAGUAUCUUGGGUUCAAUUAACAAGAAAGUCUACAGUAACAUUUUGUCAAUGGGGAAGGACUUGAAUUCACAGAACUGUCUCGGAAAGCCCUGGUCCUCGCAGUCCGCCUGAGAGAGUAGAGAAGACCCCCUCCCAGAACCUUCCUGUAAGGUCUCCCCGCUGACUUCCUGUAGUGGAUGUGACUGUGUGCCAGGUGCCUGCCGAAGACCCCUGUCACUGACUGUGCCCUUUGGGAAAGAGUCAACAAUGGCCUCCUCCUAUGGCUGACUUCGUUCAUGUUCAGGCUCUCCAGCUUGCUAGUGAGAAUUGCCAAGGAUUGGUUCAUGGCAGGAUAGAACUAAACUGAUAGAUGAAAGCUCCACAGUGCUUCAAGACGGGGUCCCGUUCAUGUUAAGCAGUUUUCCUUCCUUCAAAAUAAAAAACUAGCAGUCC